rnacentral:rRNA from 1 species
AUGAACGCUGGCGGCGUGCCUAAUCCCUGCCAGUCGAGCGAACAGAUGAGGAGCUUGCUCCUCUGACGUUAGCGGCGGACGGGUGAGUAACACGUGGAUAACCUACCUAUAAGACUGGGAUAACUUCGGGAAACCGGAGCUAAUACCGGAUAAUAUAUUGAACCGCAUGGUUCAAUAGUGAAAGACGGUUUUGCUGUCACUUAUAGAUGGAUCCGCGCCGCAUUAGCUAGUUGGUAAGGUAACGGCUUACCAAGGCAACGAUGCGUAGCCGACCUGAGAGGGUGAUCGGCGACACUGGAACUGAGACACGGUCCAGACUCCUACGGGAGGCAGCAGUAGGGAAUCUUCCGCAAAGGGCGAAAGCCUGACGGAGCAACGCCGCGUGAGUGAUGAAGGUCUUCGGAUCGUAAAACUCUGUUAUUAGGGAAGAACAAAUGUGUAAGUAACUAUGCACGUCUUGACGGUACCUAAUCAGAAAGCCACGGCUAACUACGUG